rnacentral:rRNA from 1 species
UACGUAGGGUGCAAGCGUUAUCCGGAAUUAUUGGGCUUAAAGAGCUCGUAGGCGGUUUGUCGCGUCUGCUGUGAAAACUGGAGGCUCAACCUCCAGCCUGCAGUGGGUACGGGCAGACUAGAGUGCGGUAGGGGAGAUUGGAAUUCCUGGUGUAGCGGUGGAAUGCGCAGAUAUCAGGAGGAACACCGGUGGCGAAGGCGGGUCUCUGGGCCGAUACUGACGCUGAGGAGCGAAAGCGUGGGGAGCGAACAGG